rnacentral:tRNA from 2 species
GCCCCGAUAGUCUAGUGGUCUAGGAUCACGGUCUGUCGAGCCGUGGGCUCGGGUUCAAAUCCCGAUCGGGGCG